rnacentral:lncRNA from 1 species
CUUUUGCCUCAUCCCAUCUCUCUCUACUAUUCUUCUUCGUUGCCUCCCAUCCCUCCACCGCCUCCACCCUUGCGCCUCCAACACCCUCAACCCUGCGUUGCCUUCACCGCCUUCGUGCCUCUACUGCGAUUUUCCUCCUCUACCAUCUCCACUCGUUGAGUUUAGCGCCACCUCCUCCGCCUACACCCUAGUGCCGUCAUCGUCCACCCGUCCACCCUCCCUGAGUGAAACUCUAGCAACGGCUCGAUGCCGAAGUGCGAGCAAUCGUCCAUCUCAAGAUAGAUCUCAUUUUUCGCUGACGGCACUUCGGAGAAGGAGGUGUAGUUCUAGAUUUUCGUGACCUCGCAGAAGAAGAAGCUCGAGUUCUUUUGAUCGGAGUUGCCGAAAGCCCUUUCCACAUGUCAGUUGAUUGUUUUGAAUUGAGUGAAUUUUUGUCUUUUUACUUGAAUUAAUUUAUUUUUGUUUGUGGGUUUGGGAUAUGCAGAUCUCUUUGUUAUAAGGACAGAUUUGGUGACUAUGCAGUUUUCGAUCUCAUUUAUGUUUGGCGAUUAUGCAGAUCGAUCUCAUUUUUGUUUAUUCAUAAUUACGAUUUGAUGUUUUUACAAUUUCGUAAAUUUGAUUCUAGAAUCUUUUUGCUU